GUCCCUCCUCUCGCGUAGCGCUCUCUCGUCCGUAGAUUGUGAUCUCUUCAAGACGAUCGGGAAGGAAGAGCGAAUGGCGAUCGUAGCCUACGUCGUCUUCACCGGCACUGAAUCGCUCAUCGGCAACGUCGCCGCCAUCCCCAUCCACACCCGUCUUCGACAACUCCAUGUGAACUUGAUCGAGCUGGCCUCUGGCAGAUACCAGUUCAGCAUGUGAAUCACUCCAAGAUAUGUGCUGCUCAGGAAUCACAUCCUUCCUUUUCUCUGUCUUUAUGCGAAUAUCCAUGUGUAUCCCUCCGUCGAGGGUGGCGUGUACUCAACCAAGUAUUUGUGGUGCUCUGUGUCAGCUUAACUGUUGCAUCACACGCUCCUUAGCAAAGCAUCCUUGGAGAAGGAUCUGCUUCUCUUUGGGGGGGUCUCAUGAGAUCAUGUUGCUUGGUGGGUGCUUGCAGGCUUCUCGUGGAGAGUGCAGGAUGCCUGAGUACUCCUAGUUCAAACGAGUGAAUCUGAGCCAUGCAUAGCAGAUUGCAAACCCGAGGUAAACAACUUAUAAUUCCAUCAGUCUGUGUCUUCAUCAUGAUCUGGUUGUUUAUAUCAUCUUUCUCGCUGAAUAACUAUCUGCCACAUCCGUAGUCCCUGGCUCAAUGAUUGCUCACAUGGGUGUUAGCUUGGACUUCAACAUCAGCAUUCGAGAUUGGCAUAUUUCGGUCCUCUUCACUGACAUGAGAUGCUCUCCUUGUGGAGCCCACAUGCUCCUGCACAUCAUUUCUCUCUUCAAUCAUUUGCCUCCUCACCCCAUGUCUUCUUUGGAAUCCUCACGCUAGAUGAUAUUCCAUUCCUAACAUAUUUCGUCAGGAAGAAAAACUAGUUCAUAAUUUCUUCUGUGCUUCAUAACUUGUGAAACCCUUUAUUGGAGGAUGCCUUUUCCUUUGAGAAUAUGAAGCAAACCGCAAGCACAA